GUCAGGUUUCCAUAGGAAACCAUGCUGUUGGAAGCUGAUUCUUCCAGAGGUCUAACACUAGCCUCUGUAAGUCAGGAAGGCAGCUUAGCAGGCCCACUGGGAAGUAGCAGAUGGAUAGGAAAAUGACAUGCUUUCCAAAAGUAUUUAAAUAUCAACUCUCUUUUGUUACAGCUGUGUAAGAGCCAUAUAAAAUCAAGUAACAUGUAGGAGAGAAAAGGGGUCAUGAAGGAGGAGUUUGAGCAAAAAGUAAUGCUAAAAAAGAAAAAAAAAUCCAUUGCAAAUGGUAAUGUAAAUAAGGUAAAACUUGAAAACUAUGAAGCAAUACUGCAGAUAGUCAUGUCUGAAGGAAUACCUAGAGGGUUCUUUUUGGUGGUGAUCUUCACUCCUGGAUCUGAAUUUUUCUGGACUGUCUCCCUUACCACUUCUGCAGGACACAAUUGCAACAGAAUUUUCCUUGAAUCAACGGAGGACUAUUACUUGAUGAGAUCAUUGUUUUCAGAUUUCCCCAGGAAGGAAAUACUGUCAACACAGUCAGUGUCUGAGUUUAUCCUCUCAGUGGAAAAGACAAUGAUUUAUGGGCAGCUGGAAUUUGCAUGCAUUGCUCCGAAUCUGUGGAAGAAUCUAUGUGGUUGUUCAUGGCCUUCAGAAACAUGGAUGCUGCAAAGCAGAGCUAUGGAGAAUAUGGAAAGCAGGCUCAAAAAGCAUCUGCAAAUCUGUGCCAAUAUUAUUGCCUCUGUCAUCAAGCAAUGGAAAGGUUUUUCUAGUUAAAUUCAAGUAAUUAAAUCUCCCUGCUCUCAUUAAAAAAAAUACAACUGUCUGCUGCUGGUCUGAAGAAUUGCACAGAGUGAACGUAAAUUUUAAUUUCAUGGUGCAAGUGUUAAAUUAUUGCCAUCUAAGCUGUCUGCCAGUGUUACAUGAAAUCCCACCACAUUUUAAUAAUUCUCCCUUUGUUUUGGAUGGAAAUACCACGUGUUGUGAUUUGGAAGUUUUUAUGUGCAAUUAGAGCCCUGAGAACUACAACAUAAUCACAUUCAAUUCACCUAAUUGGACAGCGAGGAAACUGUCAUUUCUGAAAUGGUUUGUGUCUUUUGGAAUGUCUGUGUGUAUACACAUGCGUAUAAAAUGAAACAUUUUCUCACCCAUCCUGUGUUAAAAUGUAAUAGAAACUCCUGCUAACUGAAGUUGAAGAUAUAGCUGGGUGUUCUUUAGUAACCUCAAAACAUAUACGUGUGCGUGUAAAUAAAAAACUGUCCUUCUAAACACAAGGAUCCUUCCCUCCUACUUACUUUGCAACAUCUUAGUAAGGAUUUGCCAUCAAUUCCCUCUCUUUACAGUGCAUUUGAUGACAUUUUACAGAUCAUCAUACUAAAUAAGUAAGAACCAUCCUCUGAUUUAGAAGAAAAACCUUUAUUUAUUUCAAUUUAUUUUGGGAGUUCAGAAGUAAUGACAAACUUGACAAUCUUCAUGACAAACAUGACAAUCUUCACAUCACUUUAAGCUGUGUGACCAAAAAGCCAUUAGCUUCACAGAAACAGACAAUACAUUUCAUCCUGAAACAACACUUAUGAUCAACAUUUAUGCAAUCUAUAGGUACUUCCUAUAUUUGUAUCAAUGCAAGUAAGAAGACAUGGAGUAUCAAACCAGCAAGGGCUUAGAAAUAUCAAGCCCAAGAGUUUACCCAUUUACUUCAGUGGAAAAUAGUGCUAGUAAAUAUCAAUACAUAUUUUAAUCUUUUAUUUCAGUAAUUUCCAUGUAAAAGCAAACAUAUUCUGCCAACUUUAUUCAUUGUCUUUGAUCUUUUUUUGAAGCAUAUUAUGAUAGAUUUCUGAAUCUUUUAAUUCAAUGUUGAAGUAGAUAUUAAGUAUAUCACAACACCAAUCCACACUAAAUAGAACUUUUGUUUUUUGUUCUUUUGCUGAAAUGUCUGACAGUAUUUCAAGAAUAAUUUAAUUAUGAACUUUAUAUUAACAAAAGACAAGUGAUUUUUUAUUCCAUUCAGUGUGGAAUAAGAUACUACCUAUAUUUGUUAAGCCCUGUGUAUCAACCAGAAUUUGCAAAGGGAAGUUAUCAACUUCAGAUACUCAUUCUCCAUUUCCCAUAAAUAUGUUAAAAAUACAAAGUCAGCUCCUAAGUUUUUCAUCAAAUAAACUAGCUUAUUAAGAUUAAGUGGCCUGAAACCACCAUCUGUGAGUUCACAUUUAUAUCUAGAAAACCUGUAUAAUCAUGUGUAUUGAGAGUAAGGCUUAGUGUUGGAAGGCCCAACCUUGUAAACAAGCUUUGUUUACACAAGAAGACAAUAGGACUCUUCUUUUGUUUCAGAGUUUACAUGUUCAGAGGCUGAGAUCACUAUUUUUGAAAUGUGAUGAUGGGAAUACAAAGUAAUUACCUUUAUGAAGGUUUUACAAAGAAUCCUGUAAGUAAAGCCCAUGACAGAAAUAUAUAGUGUCUCCAAAGAAACAAUUAUGAUGUAUUGUGUUUGAAUAAUAACUCAGAAUGUUUUAUCAUCAUCUGUUUACAUAAUAAGUCAUAAUAACUUUUCAAAAUAUGGUGCUUGCAUUUUUAUUAUUGUUUUAAGUGUACAUAGGGGAAUUACUACAGCCUAGAAUCAUAAACUUUGUAAAACUUUGUUGAAGACUGCAUUUUUAUUCCCAUCCUCUUCUGCUCAAACAAAAAUGUAAAGGAAACAACACACAAAUAAAAGUACGCUAAAAUAAUCCCAUGUGUCUGGCUAAAAGAAAAGACAGGAAAUUCUUAAAAGUGUGGUUAUAAACUGAAAAAUGCCUUUAAACAUGGCUUCCUACUGUCUCACAUUUAUAUAUUCAUAAUUAUUUCACUAUCAAUAUUUUCUUUGCUUAUAUGUACACAAAUUACAUUAUUCAACAUGCCAAGACCACAUUCUCAGUCUGAUAUCUGGAAUACAAAGCCCUGUUGUCACUGGCUUCUACUACAGUGUUAAAGAUGGAACUGAGAGAAAUUCCUAGAUUCCCUCUCCUGGAAACUUUAUGAUUUAAGCCUACUUCUGACCUUUAGCAAUAUUUCCUUGGGGAGACUGAGGUCCAAAUUAAACUUUCAGGAAUUACAAGAGAAAUUUCAAUGAACUCUAGAGAUGCCAGAAAGACAAAUGACAAAAGUAGUUAAAGCAAAAGUGCUGAGCACGUCUUAAGUGCUUCAAUUAGAACUCUUGUUCCCCACAGGAUGUUCCAGAAAGGUGUAGAGGUGCUCACAGACCCUCACAAUGGUUUCAGACAUCUAGCCCACAAAGUAGAAUCCAAAGCCAAGAUUAGAGAGCUGUUACCUACAGAGAACAGAUGAUGUUAUGUGAG
ensembl:lncRNA